CCUACGGGUGGCAGCAGUGAGGAAUAUUGGUCAAUGGGCGUAAGCCUGAACCAGCCAAGUCGCGUGAGGGAUGAAGGUUCUAUGGAUCGUAAACCUCUUUUAUAAGGGAAUAAAGUGUGGGACGUGUCCUGUUUUGUAUGUACCUUAUGAAUAAGGAUCGGCUAACUCCGUGCCAGCAGCCGCGGUAAUACGGAGGAUCCGAGCGUUAUCCGGAUUUAUUGGGUUUAAAGGGUGCGUAGGCGGCCUGUUAAGUCAGCGGUGAAAGUGUGGGGCUCAACCAGAGAAUUGCCGUUGAAACUGGGAGGCUUGAGUGUGGUUGAGGCAGGCGGAAUGCGUGGUGUAUCGGUGAAAUGCUUAGAUAUCACGCAGAACCCCGAUUGCGAAGGCAGCCUGCCAAGCCAUGACUGACGCUGAUGCACGAAAGCGUGGGGAUCAAACAGGAUUAGAUACCCUUGUAGUC
rnacentral:rRNA from 1 species